AACGCUGGCGCGUGCUUAACACAUGCAAGUCGAACGGGAUCCCUGGCAGCUUGCUGCCGGGGUGAGAGUGGCGAACGGGUGAGUAAUGCGUGACCGACCUGCCCCAUGCACCGGAAUAGCUCCUGGAAACGGGUGGUAAUGCCGGAUGUUCCACAUGAGCGCAUGCGAGUGUGGGAAAGGCUUUUUGCGGCAUGGGAUGGGGUCGCGUCCUAUCAGCUUGUUGGUGGGGUAACGGCCUACCAAGGCGUUGACGGGUAGCCGGCCUGAGAGGGCGACCGGCCACAUUGGGACUGAGAUACGGCCCAGACUCCUACGGGAGGCAGCAGUGGGGAAUAUUGCACAAUGGGCGCAAGCCUGAUGCAGCGACGCCGCGUGCGGGAUGGAGGCCUUCGGGUUGUAAACCGCUUUUGUUCAAGGGCAAGGCACGGUUUCGGCCGUGUUGAGUGGAUUGUUCGAAUAAGCACCGGCUAACUACGUGCCAGCAGCCGCGGUAAUACGUAGGGUGCAAGCGUUAUCCGGAUUUAUUGGGCGUAAAGGGCUCGUAGGCGGUUCGUCGCGUCCGGUGUGAAAGUCCAUCGCUUAACGGUGGAUCCGCGCCGGGUACGGGCGGGCUUGAGUGCGGUAGGGGAGACUGGAAUUCCCGGUGUAACGGUGGAAUGUGUAGAUAUCGGGAAGAACACCAAUGGCGAAGGCAGGUCUCUGGGCCGUUACUGACGCUGAGGAGCGAAAGCGUGGGGAGCGAACAGGAUUAGAUACCCUGGUAGUCCACGCCGUAAACGGUGGAUGCUGGAUGUGGGGCCCUUUUCCGGGUCCUGUGUCGGAGCUAACGCGUUAAGCAUCCCGCCUGGGGAGUACGGCCGCAAGGCUAAAACUCAAAUGAAUUGACGG
rnacentral:rRNA from 1 species